GUGAACGCCCUCACGGGCUUAUAACUAUUCCAAACCUCUGUGAACCGUGCCCUUCGGGGCUAUUUUACAGACAUGGUGUAAUGAACGUCAUAUAUCAUAACAAAACAA
rnacentral:misc_RNA from 1 species